AUCGUCUCGGCAAAGACGAUGAAUUGGAGAGCGAUUUGGAUCCGAAUACGUUUCUUCGGACAUAACGGAGAGCAGCUGAGAGUUCUCGCCAGAGCCGCUGGAACGAGCAGAUUGUCCAACCAGAAGCCAAAAGAUGACGACUCCUUGCUUUGGUGGUGGAAAGAAAGGUCGUGCAUCUGGACGUGGUGGGAUGAAUCGAUGUGGUGACAAACUGGAUGGAAGCCAAAAACCAUCCCCUCCACAGCUGCAGUUUCGUUCAUUGUUCAAUUUGCACUUUUGUUCAUAGUUCAAUAGUUUUCUUAUGUGCAAAUAAAUUAUUUUGCGA